rnacentral:rRNA from 1 species
UACAGAGGUCCCAAGCGUUGUUCGGAUUCAUUGGGCGUAAAGGGUGCGUAGGUGGCGCCGUAAGUCAGGUGUGAAAUCUCGGGGCUUAACUCCGAAACUGCAUUUGAUACUGCGGUGCUUUGAGGACUGGAGAGGAGACUGGAAUUUACGGUGUAGCAGUGAAAUGCGUAGAGAUCAUGAGGAAGACCAGUGGCGAAGGCGGGUCUCUGGACAGUUCCUGACACUGAGACACGAAGGCCAGGGGAGCAAACGGG